CCUACGGGUGGCUGCAGUGGGGAAUAUUGGACAAUGGGCGAAAGCCUGAUCCAGCCAUGCCGCGUGUGUGAAGAAGGCCUUCGGGUUGUAAAGCACUUUCAGUGGGGAAGAAAGCCUUGGGGCUAAUACCCUCGAGGAAGGACAUCACCCACAGAAGAAGUACCGGCUAACUCCGUGCCAGCAGCCGCGGUAAUACGGAGGGUGCGAGCGUUAAUCGGAAUUACUGGGCGUAAAGCGCGCGUAGGCGGUCUGAUAAGCCGGUUGUGAAAGCCCCGGGCUCAACCUGGGAACGGCAUCCGGAACUGUCAGGCUAGAGUGCAGGAGAGGAAGGUAGAAUUCCCGGUGUAGCGGUGAAAUGCGUAGAGAUCGGGAGGAAUACCAGUGGCGAAGGCGGUCUUCUGGACUGACACUGACGCUGAGGUGCGAAAGCGUGGGUAGCAAACAGGAUUAGAUACCCCAGUAGUC
rnacentral:rRNA from 1 species